rnacentral:tRNA from 1 species
GUGGCUUAGUGGUAGAGUGCUUGCCUAAAAUGCAUGAGACCCUAGGUUCAAUUCCUUGGUAGCACA